rnacentral:rRNA from 1 species
UACGGGGGGAGCAAGCGUUGUUCGGAUUUACUGGGCGUAAAGGGCGCGUAGGCGGCCACCGCAAGUCGACUGUGAAAUCUCCGAGCUUAACUCGGAAAGGUCAACUGAUACUGCGGGGCUAGAGUGCGGAAGGGGCAACUGGAAUUCUUGGUGUAGCGGUGAAAUGCGUAGAUAUCAAGAGGAACACCUGCGGCGAAGGCGGGUAGCUGGGCCGACACUGACGCUGAUGCGCGAAAGCCAGGGGAGCGAACGGG